AGGCAGCAGUUAGGAAUCUUCCCCAAUGGACGCAAGUCUGAUGGAGCAACGCCGCGUGAGUGAAGAAGGGUUUCGGCUCGUAAAGCUCUGUUGUUGGUGAAGAAGGACAGGGGUAGUAACUGACCUUUGUUUGACGGUAAUCAAUUAGAAAGUCACGGCUAACUACGUGCCAGCAGACGCGGUAAUACGUAGCUGGCAAGCGUUGUCCGGAUUUAUUGGGCGUAAAGCGAGUGCAGGCGGCUCGAUAAGUCUGAUGUGAAAGCCUUCGGCUCAACCGGAGAAUUGCAUCAGAAACUGUCGAGCUUGAGUACAGAAGAGGAGAGUGGAACUCCAUGUGUAGCGGUGAAAUGCGUAGAUAUAUGGAAGAACACCGGUGGCGAAGGCGGCUCUCUGGUCUGUUACUGACGCUGAGGCUCGAAAGCAUGGGUAGCGAACAGGAUUAGAUACCCUAGUAGUCC
rnacentral:rRNA from 1 species